GUUUCAGCAGCCGCGGUAAUACAGAGGGUGCAAACGUUGUUCGGAAUUACUGGGCGUAAAGCGCGUGUAGGCGGCUAUGCAAGUCGGAUGUGAAAGCCCACGGCUUAACCGUGGAAGUGCACCCGAUACUACGUAGCUAGAGUCCUGGAGAGGAAGGCGGAAUGCUUGGUGUAGAGGUGAAAUUCGUAGAUAUCAAGCGGAACACCUGUGGCGAAGGCGGCCUUCUGGACAGUGACUGACGCUGAGACGCGAAAGCGUGGGGAGCAAACAGGAUUAGAAACCCCAGUAGUCC
rnacentral:rRNA from 1 species